GUACAUUUUAUGCAAAGGGCACCUUAGGCUACUUAACAGAUCACAAAGGCUACCCUAGACCCCCUCACCGUCAACAUGAAUAGACCGAACUAAAAGGAUGGCAGAAACCAUACAGUGAGUUAAAUCCUUCAGAAGUAUUUUCUGCCAGGGCUGGAACGCAACCAGUCUGCUGUGAGAUUUUUC
rnacentral:lncRNA from 11 species